AUCAACGCUGGCGGCGUGCCUAACACAUGCAAGUCGAGCGAGAAAGUGUAGCAAUACAUGAGUAAAGCGGCGCACGGGUGAGUAACACGUGGGUAAUCUGCCUGGAGUGGGGAAAAACAUCGGGAAACCGGUGCUAAUACCGCAUACGAUCACGAGGUCUGCGGAUUUUGUGAUGAAAGGAGCAAUUCGCUCUAGGAGGAGCCCGCGGCUGAUUAGCUAGUUGGUGAGGGUAAUGGCUCACCAAGGCUACGAUCAGUAUCCGGUCUGAGAGGACGGUCGGACACACUGGAACUGAGACACGGUCCAGACUCCUACGGGAGGCAGCAGUGGGGAAUUUUCGCAUGGGGGCAACCCUGACGAAGCAACGCCGCGUGGGUGAUGAAGUCUCUUGGGACGUAAAACCCUUUCGACGGGGAAGGAAAACCGCAAGGUUGACGGUACCCGUAGAAGAAGCCCCGGCUAACUCCGUGCCAGCAGCCGCGGUAAUACGGGGGGGGCAAGCGUUGUUCGGAAUUACUGGGCGUAAAGGGCUGCGUAGGUGGUCCACUAAGUCUAGAUCGUGAAAUCCCUCUGGGCUUAACCAGGGAGCCUGCAUCUAAUACUGACGUUGGCUUAGAGUUGGGAGAGGGGUACGCGGAAUUCCAGGUGUAGCGGUGAAAAUGCGUAGAUAUCAUGGAGGAACACCGGUGGCGAAGGCGGCGUACCUGGACAGCAUCUGACUGAUGAGGACGAAAGCCAGGGGAGCAAACGGAUUAGAUACCCCGGUAGUCCUGGCCCUAAACGAUGAAUGCUUGGUGUGGCGGGUAUCGAUCCCUGCCGUGCCGAAGCUAACGCAUUAAGCAUUCCGCCUGGGGGAGUACGGUCGCAAGGCUGAAACUCAAGGAAUUGACGGGGGCCCGCACAAGCGGUGGAGCAUGUGGUUCAAUUCGACGCAACGCGAAGAACCUUACCCAGGCUUGAACAGCGAGUGACACACUCCGAAAGGAGUCUUCCGCAAGGACACUCGUAGAGGUGCUGCAUGGCUGUCGUCAGCUCGUGUCGUGAGAUGUUGGGUUAAGUCCCGCAACGAGCGCAACCCUUGUCUUCUGUUGCCAUCAGGUUAUGCUGGGCACUCUGAAGAGACUGCCGGUGAUAAACCGGAGGAAGGUGGGGAUGACGUCAAGUCAGCAUGGCCUUUAUGUCUGGGGCUACACACGUGCUACAAUGGCAGAUACAAACCGUCGCGAGACCGCAAGGUGGAGCUAAUCGGAGAAAGUCUGUCUCAGUUCGGAUAGCAGGCUGCAACUCGCCUGCUUGAAGUUGGAAUCGCUAGUAAUCGCGGAUCAGCACGCCGCGGUGAAUACGUUCCCGGGCCUUGUACACACCGCCCGUCACAUCACGAAAGCCGGUUGUACUAGAAGUCGCCACAUCAACCCGCAAGGGGGAGAGGCGCCUAAGGUAUGGUCGGUGAUUGGGGUG
rnacentral:rRNA from 1 species